AACCUUAUGGACCUGCGGGCGUAUACCUGCGGAAGGAUCAUUACCGAGUUUACAAACUCCCAACCCUAUGUGAACCUACCUAUCGUUGCUUCGGCGGGCUUAGCCCCCGCGCCCUCGCCGGCGCCGGGAAACAGGCGCCCGCCGGAGACCCAAACUCAAUGUUUUUCAUGCAGUAUUAUUCUGAGUGGCAAACGCAAAAAUAAAUCAAAACUUUCAACAACGGAUCUCAGAUCGGAAGAG
rnacentral:misc_RNA from 1 species